rnacentral:tRNA from 1 species
GGGGAAUGGGUCUGCCUGGAGUGGACGUCUCGCUUGCACCGAGAAGAUCAGAUGGGUUCGACUCCCAUAUUCUCCACCA